rnacentral:rRNA from 1 species
GAUGAACGCUGGCGGCGUGCCUAAUACAUGCAAGUCGAGCGAACAGACGAGGAGCUUGCUCCUCUGACGUUAGCGGCGGACGGGUGAGUAACACGUGGAUAACCUACCUAUAAGACUGGGAUAACUUCGGGAAACCGGAGCUAAUACCGGAUAAUAUAUUGCACCGCAUGGUUCAAUAGUGAAAGACGGUUUUGCUGUCACUUAUAGAUGGAUCCGCGCCGCAUUAGCUAGUUGUUAAGGUAACGGCUUACCAAGGCAACGAUGCGUAGCCGACCUGAGAGGGUGAUCGGCCAGACGGGAACUGAGACACGGUCCAGACUCCUACGGGAGGCAGCAGUAGGGAAUCUUCCGCAAGGGGGGAAAGCCUGACGGAGCAACGCCGCGUGAGUGAUGAAGGUCUUCGGAUCGUAAAACUCUGUUAUUAGGAAAGAACAAAUGUGUAAGUAACUAUGCAGGUCUUGACGGUACCUAAUCAGAAAGCCACGGCUAACUACGUG